UUCUCAUUCCCAUUAUAAGCUUCGCCCUAUCCAGUCUGCUCAUGAUUUUGCAAACGUUUAAGAAUUCUCCAUUUAGCCUUCUUCAUUCCAAGGAGUAUACUGACAACUUUUCAAUCUAUCCUCUUAACUGAAGUUUCUCAUUCUUGGAACCAGUCUUAUAAAUCGUUUCUGCAUUCUGUCCAAUGCAGCCAUGUCUAUCUUAUCAUGUGGCAUCCACAACUACACACACUUCACUGAGUUCUAACAAGGGUCUCUACAAGAUCAAGACAACGUCCUUGCUCUUGUUCUUUAGCCUUAAAACCAUGCAAGGUCUCUGCGCUCUCUAGAUCUGACCUCAUAUCCAUCCUCCACUUCCUUCUCACCACCACUGGAAACUUUGCCUUCGACCGUCUUGAUCCUAAACUCUGGAAAUCCCACUAAAAUUACUUCUCUUUACCUAUACACUUCUUUACUUCUUUAAAACUCUGCUUAAAAUCUACCUCUAUAGUCAAAUUAUUGUCACCAAUUUCAAAGUCAUUUUUUAUGGCUUACUGGCAAUUUUCAUUGCCUGGCACUCCUGUGAAGCCUAAUGGAAUGUUUUAUUAUUUUCACGGCGCUGUGCAAAUAUGCAAUGUCAUGGGUUUAGCCGCACGGACUCGAAGCAUCAAGGCGGAGGAACGUGAACUCAGAACCAUGGCUGAGCCACAGGCGGGAGUUGUUCCAAAGGCCACCUAACUUUGAGAUAAGACUAUAAGAUAAACUUCAUUCUCGCUUUAUAUUCUGUGUUUAUGUUUAUUUUCAGUGUUUUAAGAUGGCGCCGGAGUGGUGACACGAAACCACACUUUUCACUGUAUUUGUAAUCAAUAAACGUGACAAUAAAUCAAAUCGAAUUUAAACAAGAUCAAAUGAGUACAAAUGGAAGUUGUUGCUGGUACCCAAGUCUACUAAGACGGAGAGCUACCGGACCCUGGGAAAGAUUCCCCAAUUUGUUAUGGCUUUAGAUCGGACAGCCCCAAUCGCGCUUUAUUCACCGUCACCACCCCUAGCUCUGGGCUGGUUUUAAAGCAGCGAGACAUCAGCUGCAGCGAUGAUGGAGCAGGGACUCCAGGCUGCGAUCGGCCCAGAUGACUAAAAUUCCUAAUUGUUUUGAAGAUUGAAAAAUAAUGCCACUUUUGGUAAUGGUAUUGCUAUGAAGAUGGCCUAAGAAACCUACAAAGUCGGAAGUCUCAGGAAGUGACUUCACCUGAUGAAGGAGCAGUGCUUGUGAUUUUGAAUAAACCUGUUGGUCUCUCA